rnacentral:rRNA from 1 species
UGGCGGACGGGUGAGUAACGCGUGGGCAACCUGCCCUGUACCGGGGGAUAACAGCCGGAAACGGCUGCUAAUACCGCAUAAGCGCACGAGAGCGCAUGCUUUUGUGUGAAAAACUCCGGUGGUACGGGAUGGGCCCGCGUCUGAUUAGCUUGUUGGCGGGGUAGAAGCCCACCAAGGCGACGAUCAGUAGCCGACCUGAGAGGGUGACCGGCCACAUUGGGACUGAGACACGGCCCAAACUCCUACGGGAGGCAGCAG